ACCCGUUGAUCCUGCGGGAGGUCGCUACUAUUAGGGUUCGACUAAGCCAUGCAAGUCAGAGGGGCUCUUCGGAGUCACAGGCAAAAUGCUCAGUAACACGUCGUUAAUCUAACCUUAGAUCUGGAAUAACCUUGGAAAACUGAGGCUAAAACCGGAUAUGGGAAAAUAAUUGGAAAAUGUUUUCCUUUAAAAGCAAUGUCUAAGGAUGAGACGGCGGCGGAUUAGGUUGUUGGCGGGGUAAUGGCCCACCAAGCCGACGAUCCGUAGGGCCGUGAGAGCGGUAGCCCCGAGAAGGACACUGAGAUACUGGUCCUAGCCCUACGGGGUGCAGCAGGCGCGAAACCUUUACAAUGCACGAAGGUGUGAUAAGGGAACCCUAAGUGCUCAUGUUUUACAUGGGCUUAUGCCAAGAAUAAAUAUCUUGGCGAAUAAGUGGUGGGAAAGACUGGUGCCAGCAGCCGCGGUAACACCAGCGCCACAAGUAGGGACUACUACUAUUGGGCCUAAAGCGUCCGUAGCCGGCUGAAUAAAUUUCUUGUGAAAUUGUUGGGCUUAACCUAACAACGUGCAGGAAAAACUGUUCAGCUUGGAACCGGGAGAAGUCAGGAGUAUGCUGGGGGGAGCGGUAAAAUGUUAUAAUCCCCGGUAGACUACCAGUGGCGAAGGCGCCUGACUAGAACGGAUUCGACGGUGAGGGACGAAAGCCAGGGGAGCGAAGCGGAUUAGAUACCCGUGUAGUCCUGGCCGUAAACGCUGCGAGCUAGGUGUUGCAUAUUCUACAUGAAUAUGCAGUAUCGAAGCGAAGGUGAUAAGCUCGCCGCCUGGGAAGUAUGGUCGCAAGGCUGAAACUUAAAGGAAUUGGCGGGGGAGCACUACAAGGGGUGCGGCGUGCGGUUUAAUCUAAUUCAACGCAGAGAAUCUCACCAGAAGCGACGGCAGGAUGAAAGUCAGGCUAAAGGUCUUACUUGACGAGCCGAGAGGUAGUGCAUGGCCGCCGUCAGCUCGUGCUGUAAAGUGUCCUGUUAAGUCAGGCAACGAGCGAGACCUGCAUCUACAAUUGCUAACGGAUUCUUUAGAAUGACUGAGCACAUUGUGGAGACUGCCCUGGAAACAGGGAGGAAGGUGCAGGCUACGGUAGGUCUGUAUGCUCCGAAUCUUCUGGGCUACACGCGCGCAACAAUGGUAAGGACAAUGGGAUGCGACUCCGAAAGGAGGAGCUAAUCCUCGAAACCUUAUCCAAGUCUAGAUUGAGGAUUGUAACUCAUCCUCAUGACAAUGGAAUCCCUAGUAAUCAGAGUUUAUCAUACUCCGGUGAACAUGUCCCUGCUCCUUGCACACACCGCCCGUCAAGCCACCCGAGUAGGGUUUAGGUGAGAGGUAAAUUUUAUUUGCAUCGAACCUAAGCUCAGCGAGGAGGGCUAAGUCGUCACAAGGUA
rnacentral:rRNA from 1 species